AAACUACACACUGGAAACACUCAAUGUAGAUCAUGGAGGAGACAAGAGGAUUACACCAGGACUGCACAAAUACGCUUGUUUCCUCACACUGGAUCCAAACACAGCAAACUCUGGUCUCGCUCUGUCUGAGGAGAGCAGACAGGUCAGACGUGUGGAGGAGGAUCAGCCGUAUCCUGAUCAUCCAGACAGAUUUACUGAUCAUCCUCAGGUGUUGUGCAGAGAGUGUGUGUGUGACCGCUGCUACUGGGAGAUGGACUGGUGUGGAGAUGGUGUGUUUAUAUCAGUGUCCUAUAAGAGCAUCAGGAGGAAGGGAGACGGUAAAGAGUGUUGGUUUGGCUGUAGCGCUCUGUCCUGGAGUUUGAGCUGCUCUUCCUCCGGCUUCUCACUCAUACACAAUGACAGCUGGACUGGUGUGUCUGUAGAGCUCAUCAGCAGGAGAAUAGGAGUGUUUGUGGAUCACAGUGCAGGAGCUCUGAGCUUCUACAACAUCUCUAGAGACAGGAAAAGCCUCAUCCGCACAGUCCAGACCACAUUCACUGAGCCGCUCUAUCCUGGGUUUAGGCUUUAUUCUCCUGAAUCAUCAGUCAAACUGAUUUACCCAUAAUCCUCUGCUCUGCAGGAUCAGGGUGUACCGGGAGAGUCUCUUCAUCACAUUAGUCCUCAGCCUCUGUCUCUUAGAAAAUCAAUGUGUGUGUGUAGUGUUUGUAUGUGUGUGUCUUGUGGACAGUGUGUUAAGUGAUGACCGAUGUAAGAGUAAAUGAUCAUGUGCAUUUGUUUAUAUGGCAGAACAUGUCUUUUUCACCAAGAAGGUCCACAUUGACAGUAAAGGCAGAUGCUGAGUAAAUCAGGGCCUGGUGUGUGGACUUUGGGGGUUGUACGAUGUGGUCACAUGUUGAUUGGUCAGUUUAAAUGUCUCAGUAUUUGGGCUUUAGUCACAUGGUCAAGAAAGACACAAUAGCUGGGAAACUUUGCUCUGUCUGUUUUCCUGGUCUGCACUUUCCUGAGCUCUGCUCUCCUCCUCUUCUCUGGAUCUACUGCUCCCUGCCUCUUUGAGGCCUACUUACUCUCUUUGUCUCUCUCUCCCUUCCCCUGUGUCUCUCUUGCUUAGGUAACUUUAAUUUUAGAUUUAAGCUGGGUACAGUUAAUAUCAUUUGUUUUAUCAUAUCAUAUUUUGUCAUUUUAUAGUUAUUUUGUGAUUAAUUCAGUUGUAAUUACACAUAAUUAAUCAAUGUUUAAUACCUGACAAUAGUAAAAUAAAAAAACUAACCAAGCUGAA